CAUGUCCUCAUUGUUGAUUGAUGAUGUAGUGCCAUGUUCAAAGUACGCCUGACAUACUCAUAUGCCUUGGCUGAAUAGAACUGCAGGCACGAGAUCAAGCUGUACAUCGGAGGGCGAGCCACGGAGCAUGUCACUGCACUGUGCUGACACAAGAGAUUUGUCCCGAAGGUCACUCAUUAUGCCUUCCACAAGCCUCAAGUGUUACGUUGGCCUUUCGCUUGAGUGUGCGUGGACUGUCUCGUACCACAUAGCUGUGGUCUGCAGCAGGGUCAUGUGGUCGUGUAGCCGGUUGUGAUGACGUCCCUGGCUGUGCAACCUCGUUGACUUCCUCCGACUCCACAUUGCAUCUAAUUGGGGGGACCCUCCUUGGUUGCACGGUCUGUGUGAAAAUGUAAGGACAGAUAUUGCAAAAUGUUUGUGUUCGUCAGUUAUCCUAAGCAGGGAGAAUAAAGA